AUGAGGACAAAAAAAGGGGGAUUGGGAGUGUUUCCAACUGUAAAAGCAACGUGGCACAAGCACAAACAUAUACUCACCUGUGAUUUAAACCAUUUUUCCCCCAAAAGAUUUCUGAUUGUUUUGGGGAAAAACAGCCUUUUUGCCAGGACCCCCCCCCCCAGAGUGACACAGCAGGAACAAAACCGGGUGAAAAUGACGCAAAAACCCCACAAUGACAGCGCUGGAAAAAAAAUAAAGACGUCCAAAAGAAAAAAGCCCCCGGGAGGCUUUUAGGAGGAGGAAAACGGGAAGAUUUCGGAAAGAAGAGCCCGGAGGAGCGCAGGCGGCCGCGGGCCCGGCAGGGUGAGCGGAGAUUUUUGGUGCAGGAUCAGGGGAAAACGGGGCUUUUCACAAGCCGCCAGCCGGAGGGUGUGGAGCCGAAGAGGAAGCAGAGGAGGAAAAAAAAAAAAAGAGAUGAUUUCUCAGCUAAAAAUUCCAAAAUUUCGGUUCUAAACUGAUAGAAGAUGGCUUAAAGAGAAGAUUAUUGGAAAGGAGGAAAUAAUUUGCAAAACAGGAAAAAAAUAAGAGUGAAGAUAAAAUGUAGACAUGAGGAAGAUUUAAAAAUCGAAGAGAGAAAACGCCAAAUUCUAAUUAAUUUGAUGAAGGAGGCUGACGAGCGGCUCCAGCCCGGCUUCACGCCGACCCCGAAUUAACCCAAUCGCGGCCGUUUUUCCCCAAACCGCCGAGGGCGCGCCUGCUUCACGCAGCCGGAAAAGCCGAGAUUUGAGCCCAAAAAUGGCGAGGGGAGGAGGAGGAGGAGGUUGUAGAGGCUGAGGAGAGGCGCGCGGGUGCGGGAGGCUUCCCAAACCCCCAGCCAGGUGUAGAAGAGCGGCAGCGACGCGCCUGGGCAGGAGGAAAAAAAAGAGGAGGAAAAAAGGACAUUUUGGUUAAAAGCUGCUUGCUGGGAAGGACGCAGGGAGGCGAGAAGGCGGCAGCAAAACGCCAGUGGAGGAGGAAGCAGAAAAUAGGAAAAGAGGAGAAAGUAGAGCAAAGAAAAAGAGCAAAUAAUAGGCAAAAAGGAGGAGAAAACAGAAAAAAUAGGAAAAAAAAAAAAAGAAGAGGGAAAAGAAUAGAAAAAAUGAAGAGGGCAGAAAAUAGAAAAAAGAAAAUAGAAAAAAGAAGAGGGCAGAAAAUAGAAAAAAGAAAAUAGAAAACAGAAAAAAAAAGAAGAAAAUAGAAAAAAGAAAAAUAGAAGAAUAGAAAAAAGAAAAUAGAAAAAAAUGAAGAGGGCAGA
rnacentral:lncRNA from 1 species